GACGAACGCUGGCGGCGUGCUUAACACAUGCAAGUCGAACGGAAAGGCCCUGCUUUUGUGGGGUGCUCGAGUGGCGAACGGGUGAGUAACACGUGAGUAACCUGCCCUUGACUUUGGGAUAACUUCAGGAAACUGGGGCUAAUACCGGAUAGGAGCUCCUGCUGCAUGGUGGGGGUUGGAAAGAUUCGGCGGUUGGGGAUGGACUCGCGGCUUAUCAGCUUGUUGGUGGGGUAGUGGCUGACCAAGGCUUUGACGGGUAGCCGGCCUGAGAGGGUGACCGGCCACAUUGGGACUGAGAUACGGCCCAGACUCCUACGGGAGGCAGCAGGGGGGAAUAUUGCACAAUGGGCGGAAGCCUGAUGCAGCAACGCCGCGUGCGGGAUGACGGCCUUCGGGUUGUAAACCGCUUUCGCCUGUGACGAAGCGUGAGUGACGGUAAUGGGUAAAGAAGCGCCGGCUAACUACGUG
rnacentral:rRNA from 1 species